rfam:Spirochaetes bacterium GWB1_59_5 gwb1_scaffold_2791, whole genome shotgun sequence.
UGGGACGUCGACAAGAGGUAAGUCAGCGGGCUUUGAUUCCGCCAUUCGCAGGUUCGAACCCUGCCGUCCCAG